AUUUAUCAAUAAAGUGUUUUUCAUUGUUUUUUUGUAUUUUUCAUGUAAUGUAAUUCGAAUUUUGCAGGUAUUUUUUGAGUUCACCAAAGUAUUUUUUGUACAGCCAUCAUCGAAUUUUGCAGUUAUUUUUUGAGUUUUGGUUUUAAUUUUUUUUUCUUUUUUUUUUCGUGUGAGGUUGUGAGUUUAAUUUUAGGAGUCGACUUGUACAUAAAACGCGAUUGUUGUGGCAAGAAAUAUAAUAAAAAAAACUCGAAACUUGUUCCUAGUGGUGGUGCGACAAAACUGACUGUUCAUCCAUUGAAGGCAUAGAAAAGGUAAUGAAUUUUAAUGUGUUUCUUAAUAUAUUGAAUCACUGUUUAUUGGUCCUCAAAUGAUUUGUUUACUUUUUUUUUAUACUUGGGAGUAUAUGUGGAUUCGUGAUGAGAAUAUUUUGUUGGUAAUAUGAUAUUGAUAUUUUAUUUAUCGAGAAUGAAAUAGGUGACUACUUUACGUGUGUUUCAACUAUUAUAUAAUGUGUGGCGUUCCACUUCAACUUGCUAUGAUCUGUGACCUUUGGUUAAACGAAGAAUAAUGACUAGCACUCUAUGUUUGUAAUUUGACUUGGAUAAUGUAAGCUGUCUCGUAUCACAUGGAGAACAAAAUCAGGUACUUGAAGGGACAAAUAAAGUCACAUACAUGUAUAUAGUCACAUGUGGUCAUAUACAUGUAGUCAUAUAUAGUCAUGUGUAGUAACAUACAGUAAUAUAUGGUGUAGUCACAUAUAGUAAUAUAUAGUCACGUGUAGUAACAUACAGUAAUAUAUGGUGUAGUCACAUGCAGUAAUAUAUAGUUUCAUAUAAACUAUGUAGUCAUGUAGUCAUAUAUAGUCAUGUAUGAGUUAUGUGGGGAGUAUCUAUGUAUACCAGUAGGUGAUAGUGCGUGUGUGCACAUUUAAAUUUGAAGCAAAAUUCGUUGUUUGUUUAACUCUUUUUCAUUUUCACAGGUCUUGGUGUUUGAACUACUAUGUAGUAAGUUUUUGCGGAGUGGAUAGUGUUCGUUGUUCAAAACAAGCGGUUCUUGUGUUGACAAGUGCGAUUUGAGUCAAAUUUAGUCGUAUAGAUAUCUGUAGUCAUGUAUAGUUCCAUGUAGUUAUAUAUAUUUAUAUACAAGCUAUGUGGUUUUUCUGAUGUAUAGUGAUCUUGAUGAUUGUGUUUUUUUUUUGACUUUUUUGUUAGGCAUUAAAUUAUUUAUAAUAUCAAGA
rnacentral:lncRNA from 1 species